CAAUUUGAAUAGAUGAGUGGUUUGGUAACCUCUCUGACGUAACGUACUCAAUACGGGGCGUUGAAUUUGGCUGUGCUCCUGGUAUGACAGACCGGUUUUGGGAACACAAGCGUUCAGUUGUGUCGACGCCAAGUCGAAGCACUGGUUCAACAUUGACGCCAGACACGUUGUCCUGUCUAGCACACCCAAUGCUGCCCAACCGGUUUAUCACAAGAUACGACGUGAACACCACCAUGAAGCCCCGAAGUCCUUUGAACUUUCAAGAAAUGGUUGGGUUUGGUCAAGGGACUGGUAUUGGAUCUGAUAUAUUAUCAUUAUUGUCACACCUUUUCGCUAAAUAUGAGGUAUUGAAAAUGCUUGGUAUUGCUCCUUGUGAGGUGUUACCCAACGUUAAUGACGCCUGUCUGUAUAAGUGGUACAUACUUGACACCUAUGGUGAAGGAUGAGCCAGUUAUUUUCGAGCUUGUACUUUGGGUGCAUCUCGUUCCUCGGGUUGCAUUGCGACCGCGACCCCAUAGGAGUUUCUGGUCUUGUCUCUUCGCCCCCAACCCCGAUAAACUCUGUGUGCCGUGAACGAAUGCUCAUCAGGUCGACAGUUAUUUGACGACGUAAAUCCAUCCAUAUUAACUGGCGCUGCGGCUGCGCUCAAUAGACUCCGUUGGGGAGUCUGAGCCUGAUAGGGUGUACCAGUCCAGCCGGUUAUAUACGGUUGGUAUGCUCUAUGAUAUGGAUCUCCAGCCACCUGUCAGCUAGGGGCAGACCCCAGUGUCUCAACCCUGGGUCUCAGAGGCGGUAACUUCUAGUCAGGCAGCGCGCUAUGUCUGGUUAGGCGACAUGGGUUACCAGGAGCAUCCACAGCCAAAAUGGUUUGCACAUGGAGGUCAUCGCGACCGACUUGUGAGGGGGAAGAAGUGAUGUCCAUGGCGGUUUCAAAUUGAUCUGACGACCCCCGCGUCUUCUGGACAGGGAGGGGUUCAUGUGGCCAAAUCCUGUCAGCUAAAUCCUAUCGUUAGCAUCGUUUGCGGUACAUGGAAACCAAGGGCAUGGAACCCUUUUUUGUCUUGGUUUAAUUUCUCUGAGGAUUUCAAUGAUGAUAUAUAUAUUUAGAUCCACAGGUAAGUCGGUACAUGUGGCGACUCGCCACAUGAACUUUUUAAAAGUUUUUUUCGAGCAUUGUCAAAAGUUAUGAGAAUAAAUUUCUUCUUUGGACGUGUGUUUUUUUACCAGAAUGACAAUCAAAAAGUUUGUCACUGGAGAAUUUCCCCAUCCCCCACCCCAGCCCUAGAAUAAUAUACAGACUAAAUAGUAUCUUUGGACUGUACUGGUAAUAGAGGUCAGUCACAAAAAAUGAAAUAUAUAUUGGACUGUACUGGUAAUAGAGGUCAGUCAAAAAAAAGAUAUAUAUAUUGGACUGUACUGGUAAUAGAGGUCAGUCAAAAAAAGAGAUAUAUAUUGGACUGUACUGGUAAUAGAGGUCAGUCAAAAAAAGAAAUAUAUAUUGGACUGUACUGGUAAUAGAGGUCAGUCAAAAAAAGAAAUAUAUAUUGGACUGUACUGGUAAUAUAGGUCAGUCACGAAAAUAUCUGAAAGUCUGUGCCCCAUUGUUGACGAAUAUAAUAUCGUGAGGACUUUAUCAAUAGUCACGGUCCCUGGCCCCUCCCACAUAAAAAUCAUCAGCAAGGUCACUGCAGGCAAUAGCUUCAGCAUUGUUAUUGUAUAAACAUGUCUUAAACAUUAUAAACGGCCCAAUUUGUGGGGUUACAUUGGGUUCUUGCUGGGGUAAUGAUGUCCAUGUCCGAUUCUGCGUUUUGUGGACUUGUAAAUCAGUCCAGCAGUGACAUUGCGUUUUGUGGACAUGUAAGUCUGUCCCGCAGUACCAAGUUUCACCCCAGCAAUUACCAAUAAGACCUGCAUGUGACCUUAAAGUAAAUAGCUAUGCAAGUGUGGUCGAGACAAAACGCGAUGUAUGCAUUGGUAGAAGGAAAUCUGCGAAGAGUAGCUGGAACUGUCUGUCCAGCUCUCGUUUAUGAAACAAUGGGCGAUUUGAAAGACGUCUCCUGAACAGAUCGCCCAUUGUUCACUGAAGCAGCAUUUGAAUUGUCUCCAAUUUUUUCAGUUGGAUUGCUCCAUCUCGUGUGGUUUCGCUGUCCCGUCCCAAGAAUCGAGUCAACGCGACCGAGGCCACUUCUGAGAGAUAAAUAUUCAGGAUGCCAGAUUUGUGGAACACAAUUGAGGUAAAUGAGAUGAAAUUCGAUAAGCUGGCUAGAGUUGAUGAAAUGAGGCUAUAGGUCCGUCAUCAUGUGACUGAUAUUGGGACAAACCCGAGGCCAGCAGUCAAGAGCCAUGAUCAGGGAACAGCAGUUCCCAACGGAAUUGACCCUUUUCUUGUUGUAAUUCAUGCUGUUGGCUCAGAAUGGGUGGACACUCACCUGUUUUCGACCCUGAAAAUUAAACAUCGAACAUUGUUACUCUUUGUUAAAAGUGAACCUUGCAAAAUAUGUGCUUAUUCCUGAAAUCAAUAGCACUUCAUGUAUGUACUCGCUGAUCCAGAAUAUUGCUAUUUCUUGUUCCGUUUUCAAUGUGGCAAUCCAUUUACCGUAUCGGAGCUAUUUCACAGCACAAGAAGUGCAACAUUACAACAAUGGAGCUAUUUCUUGAUCACAGCAAAAAUGUGUUUCUACAUUGUUUUACUCAAAUGAUGCAUGGAUGAGCCUUAUUGACAUAUUUGUUUUCAAGAGGAAUUGGUUGUAGGUUUUCUUUCUUUUUUCUUAAGGCAGGCCUAAUUUAACAGAAGGCCUAUAUUUUAGGUAGGAUAUUAUUUAUACUAUAGGCCCAUAUCAGUUUUGAGA